AUUUUAUAAUAAAGAACAGAACGUCUACAGUGUGGAAAACGUCUCUCGUGUACAUCAAACACACAUCUGUGCUCUUCGUAAUCGGCAGACGCAUUUCUUGUACUGCGAAAAGCAAGGAAUUAAUUACGCGAAUAGUUUAAUGCAAUCACUUUAAUUUACAUUCCUUUUUUGUGUUUUGUUUCUCAUAAUGUCUGAUUGUAAGAUAACGUACUUACCAGAGGAGAUGAUAAGCCACAUUCUCGACGAUAAUGUACUCACUAUUGAAGAUAUCAUCAACUUUUGAUGCGUGUGCAAACAAUUUCGUUAUGCAGCCACAUAUGACAAAAUCUUGGAAAAAAAGUUAUCUCAAAGAUGGCCCUUUACGAAGAAAAGAUAUGAAAGUCUUAAAGAAGAAGAAAAUGAAGAAAACAUAAACUUUGUUACAGGCUUCCGGUUCCGUUUAUUAUAGGUACGUUGAUGAU